GGGCCCGCACNAGCGGUGGAGCAUGUGGUUUANUUCGAUGCAACGCGAAGAACCUUACCUGGUCUUGACAUACACAGAAUCUUGUAGAGAUACGAGAGUGCCUUCGGGAAUUGUGAUACAGGUGCUGCAUGGCUGUCGUCAGCUNGUGUCGUGAGAUGUUGGGUUAAGUCCCGCAACGAGCGCAACCCUUGUCCUUAGUUACCAGCGGGUUAAGCCGGGAACUCUAAGGAUACUGCCAGUGACAAACUGGAGGAAGGCGGGGACGACGUCAAGUCAUCAUGGCCCUUACGACCAGGGCUACACACNUGCUACAAUGGUAGGUACAGAGGGCAGCUACACAGCGAUGUGAUGCGAAUCUCAAAAAGCCUAUCGUAGUCCAGAUUGGAGUCUGCAACUCGACUCCAUGAAGUAGGAAUCGCUAGUAAUCGCGGAUCAGAAUGCCGCGGUGAAUACGUUCCCGGGCCUUGUACACACCGCCCGUCACACCAUGGGAGUUGAUUGCACCAGAAGUGGUUAGCCGAACCUUUUAGGACGGC
rnacentral:rRNA from 1 species